GAUGAACGCUGGCGGCGUGCCUAAUACAUGCAAGUCGAGCGAACAGACGAGGAGCUUGCUCCUCUGACGUUAGCGGCGGACGGGCGAGUAACACGUGGAUAACCUACCUAUAAGACUGGGAUAACUUCGGGAAACCGGAGCUAAUACCGGAUAAUAUAUUGAACCGCAUGGUUCAAUAGUGAAAGACGGUUUUGCUGUCACUUAUAGAUGGAUCCGCGCCGCAUUAGCUAGUUGGUAAGGUAACGGCUUACCAAGGCAACGAUGCGUAGCCGACCUGAGAGGGUGAUCGGCCACACUGGAACUGAGACACGGUCCAGACUCCUACGGGAGGCAGCAGUAGGGAAUCUUCCGCAAUGGGCGAAAGCCUGACGGAGCAACGCCGCGUGAGUGAUGAAGGUCUUCGGAUCGUAAAACUCUGUUAGUAGGGAAGAACAAAUGUGUAAGUAACUAUGCACGUCUUGACGGUACCUAAUCAGAAAGCCACGGCUAACUACGUG
rnacentral:rRNA from 1 species